rnacentral:rRNA from 1 species
GUCGCGGCCACGCCGUUAAACCCCAACUUCUGAAUGUUGACCUCGGAUCAGGUAGGAAUACCCGCUGAACUUAAGCAUAUCAAUAAGCG